AUGUGUUUCAUUUGGCAAAAACUGCUCAUAUCUCUCUUACCGCAACUGAGGUUGAAGAAUUUGGUCCUAAAAUUUAGCAAGUUUGGACAGUUGCAGGGUGUUGAUCUUGAAAGCAUUGAGCCUUCUAUUAGAGCAGAUACUGAAAACAAUUUGUGUGACAAUACUCCUGAAACAUUUGAUCAACGGAAUGCUAUCAUUGCUUCGAUUCCGAGCUAUGAGGAGCCUUACAUUAAAGUUCCAAAGGCCCUAAACGUGGACUGA